rnacentral:rRNA from 1 species
UUGAGCUCAGAUCAGGUAGGACUACCGCCUGAACUUAAGCAUAUCAAUAAGGCGAGGAACAGAAACCAACAGGGAUUCCCCUAGUAGUGGCGAAUGAAGCGGGAAAAGCUCAAGUUUGAAAUCUGGUGGGUGACCUCCAGAGUUGUAAGCUGAAGAGGUAUAGACCGACGCGGUCCAGGCCCAAUUUCCUUGGAACAGGAGGUCAUGGAGGGUGAGAACCCCGUCUGUGGCCCGGGUGCCGCUGUCCUUGUGUCUCGUCCUCGUAGAGUCGGGUUGUUUGGGAAUGCAGCUCAAAAUGGGUGGUAAAUUUCAUCUAAGGCUAAAUAUUGGCGAGAGACCGAUAGCAAACAAGUAGAGUGAUCGAAAGAUGAAAAGUACUUUGAAAAGAGAGUGAAACAGUACGUGAAAUUGUUGAAAGGGAAGCGUUUGGCAUCAGCCCAUGGCGUCCAAAGAUCAUCCAGGCUUUUGUCUGGUGCGCUUUUUGGGCGCCGGGCCAGCGUCGACUUUGCCCGCUGGAGAAAGGCCAUGGGGAUGUGGCUCCUUUCGGGGAGCGUUAUAACCCUCGGCGUCAUGCAGCGUGGUGGGGUCGAGGUCCGCGGUUUAUCCUAGGACGCUGGCGUA